rnacentral:rRNA from 1 species
AUGGAGCAACAAAAAGCAGGAGAAGAAGAGGAUUGGAAGUAUGAUUCUUCUGAUGAGGAUUACAGUUAUGAGGAAUCCAAUGGAGAGGUGGUUAAGAGAAAGAGCAAGUUUUCAAGGUAUAACAAUGACAAUGAGAUACCACAUGUUGCAUUAUCCAUGGUUUUCAGAAGCAAGAACCAUCUUUGCAAAGCUUUGAGAAGGUAUGGUCUUGUUACUAAGAGGAGUAUCAGGUUCAUGAAAUCAGAAAGUGGCGGAGUUAGGGCCAAGUGUGGAUGGGAUGGAUGCCCUUGGCUCAUCUAUGCAACAAAAAGAUCAAGAACAUCCAGAUUCCAAGUGAGUACUUUCAAUGAUGAGCAUGAAUGUGCACAGAAUAGGUGCAACAAGCUUGUGGCUGCUAAGUUGAUUGCACAGAGGUAUGCUCACUUCACACUAGCUAAUCCUAUGCGGAAAAUAGAAAGCAUGAAAGUCAUUGUAUUGCAAGACAUGUUUGUUGAUGUUUUAACCUCAAAGUGCAAACAUGCAAAGUCAAUUGUGAUGGGCAGAUUGAUGAGUAGUAUGAAGAAUGAGUAUACCAGAGUGUUUGAUUACCAAUUGGAGUUUCUUAGGAGCAAUCCUGGAAGUGUUGUUGUUCUGUGUCUGGAUCAACAAACAUGGACCAAAAUAUAUUUCAGAGUUUCUAUGUUUGCUUCAAUGCAAUGA